UAGCCCUUUCCCACAAUUCUCUCCUUCCUGCCUCCACCUCUUUCCCUGGCCCUACAGCCCUGGGAGUAGCGAAGGCGCCCCUGCUACUGGGCUCAGGCCUGUACUGUCCCUGUGGUUUCCUUUCAUUCCGUUCAGAUCUUUGUGAAGAGUGCCUUUAUUAAACCCUCUUCAGAUAAUCCUAAUUUGAAUACUGUUUCCUGCUGGGAUGCUGACAAAUACAGUGACAUUUGAGUGGACUUGGAGGCAGUAGGGUGGUUUUUCAUGCAGAUCUCUAAGGGGAAUGUGCCCUGGGCAGAAAGAACACCAGUGCAAAGGGCUGGAGGUGGGAGGAGACGCCUGGUUUGUCUGAAGAAAAGCAAGAAAGCCAGAGUGGCUGGAACAAAAGGAGGGAGCGGUGUGUUGGGAGGCGGGGGUGAGGGCAGGGACUUGUGAGCCAUUGAAAGGACUUAGCUUUUGCUCUGAGUGAAGCAGUUUUUGGAAGGCUUUGGACCAAGAAGUGACCUGCUCGUUAACACUGUUGCUCUGGCUGACGUGUUAAGGACACUCUGGGGACAAGAGUGGAAGCAGGGAGGCCAGUGAGGGAGCUGCUACAGUCUCCUAGUGAGAGACGACCACAGUGGCUUGGACAGCAGUGGGGAAGAAGGAGAAGCGAAAACAGCAAAUUAAGCAAGGGAGCAAGGAAGCAGAGAUGGGAGAAGAGAGAUGGCCACCACAUGAGAUCUCCAAGGAAUCAAGAAACAGAAGCUGAGAAGAGACAAGGACCCUCCUCUAGAGCCGACAGAGAGAGAAAGCCUUCCGCUAGGGCUGGUGCCCUGAACUGGGAAUUUUAGCCUCCUCAACUGGGAGAAAAUAAACGUCUGUUUGUUAAAGCCACCCACUUGUGGUAUUUCUGUUAUAGCAGCACUAGAUCAUUUAGACACCAUAUUUGCCCUAUUCCUCCCUGUCUCUAAUGAGUCCAGCGUAGGGUAGGUGUCAGCUCUCGCUACACGGAUGAAGGCGUGAAUGGAGAAGCCAGGAGCUGACACUCUCUGACAACACCCCAGGGGAGGGGAAGCACCUACCAUCAUGGGAGACACAAGAAUGAAUUAAGCACAGUCCCAGCCCUUGAAGGGCUGCUGGUUUGGGGCUGGGAGGCCCACUCUCCAAAGCAGUAUCCGUCCCUGCACAGAGGCUCCAGGAAACCCUCAGGGAAGGUGGCUUCUGGGUUCCCCAUACACGACUCGCUCGUUGAAUCAAAAAGGAAGCGAGAAAGGGUAACCACACAACCUGAAUUUUCUAGAACAGUCCAGGUUUUGAACAUUCUGAAGAUUCCAAUAUUGUAGCAGGUCAAUGACCCCUCAGAGUCAGACGGAUUGUGAAAAUCCAUUAUACUUUACAUGUCCCAGCUCAGCUUGGGGAAAUCGGGUCCCCACGACCCCGGGCACGCAGAUGCCAGCUGCCCCCAGCUUUGUGGGCGUGAGCAUGUCCACACAGACACUAACACCAGCUGAGGCAAAAGGUCACCCGCUUUCUGCUGAUGGCUCGGUGCCCUCCUCCCUCCCACCAGCAAUGACCCUAACACCAGUGCUGGGCACUCUGAGGUCUGGAGGGGCCCUUUGAGUCCUCAGAGUAAACAGACUCUUGCCUGCUUCUCGUCAGCAUGAAGAGGCAGGUCUGUUCUGGGUUGCACCACAGUUGCAGCCAGCAUGUCUCUGACCAGGGCUGCUACCCUCAGGUAGAGCAGCUUCGCUCCCUCAGUAUCUUGCCACAGGCCUGCCUUUCACAGUCACUCCUGCCGGGACUUUUGGUUUCGGUUUCUUUCUACUGCCGUCCACACUUUACCUCCUCCUCCCCUGUCCCCUUCUUUCCUUCCCAGCUCUGGUGGGAAAGCCCCUGGAUCCUGGCCCUGUGAGAAGAAGAAAGGGGAAGAGGUGAGAGGACAGAGAAGUGGGGAGAGUUGAUGGAGGCCUCGCUCCAUUUUCAGGGCUGGGCGGCCACUCACAGUUGAGCAAUUGUACAUUGCACAACCCCAGGGGUCGCCAGUUAGCUCAGGGUCACCCCAGAUUUGCAUCAGUUUAGCACUUUUCAGGCAGACGUCAGUAAAUGUCCUGAGAAGGGCUUUUUCCUGAAUUGUCCGCACACUCCAGGUGGGAUGAAGGGGGCUUCAAUCUCCCAGAAGCCCCAAGCCAGCCUGUCCCACAAGUCCCCCUUCCUCCAAGUUCUUGCCCCCUAACCCACUAGUCCCUCUCUGCUCAACCUCCCAGCUAGAAUGGAGCCUCAGUGAGAGACUCAGGCUCAAAAGAGGCUGACCAAGCACCUCUAGGGCCAUUUGUGGGACCCCAAGCAUGUCCCUUUCUGGACCUCAGUUUCCCCAACUGUAAAACGUGGGGUGGAAAAAUGAUCUCUAAGGGGACCUCCAGUUCAAACAUCUGGGUCUGUGCUGAGGGCUCCCAGGAAGCGUAUGAGUCACAGCUGGAUUGGGACCUCAGGGUUCCCUUUACUCUGAAGAAAGAGGGUUAUCGCUUCCCUAACUGAGAGCAGAGCUCAGCAUGGAUUCUUCUGUUGGGUGAUGACACGGGCAGGGCCCAUGAGGUGGUCCCCACAAAAUGGGGGUGAUAAUACUCCCCUUGGAGGUGGCCGUGAGGAUUAAAGGAAGCACUAUAUGCAAACCCACUGGCAGAGUUGGUGCUGAGGGAAGGGCAGCCGAUAGGGCUCAGGGAAGCCAGGCCAUGGAGCCCCAAGCCCUGGAGCCCCGAGCCCUGGAGCCCCAACCGAGGCUGCGCCUAUGGAGAAUGAGAGCAGCAGCUCUGGCCUGGCCCAGCCUGGCCUGGCCUGGCCAUUGCCUACACUCAGGCUCCAGGUUAGGGCAGGAAACCCACCUGUUUUCCUCUGGACUUACCUUGCCUCCCCUAGGCUUCCUCCCCGAUGUGGGUU